rnacentral:lncRNA from 1 species
GUUUUGGUUCCGAUUGAUCCGGCGUCGUUGCUGAACGGAUAAUAGAGAGGUUUAGCAAAGACGACGCGAUAGUGUAUCUAAAAGUCGAGGGUCGAGAGUCGAGAGCAAAGGUCGAGAGUCGAGAGUAAAAGUCGAGAGUCGAGAGUAAAAGUCGAGAGUCGAGAGUAAAAGUCGAGAGUCGAGAGUAAAAAGUCGAGAGUCGAUCGAGAGUAAAAAGUCGAGAGUCGGCAAAUGUCAUCGGAAACAACAAAUUGGGGGGUCAAAAUGUUUUUAACACAAUAUAUAACCGAUCCGUAACAACGGCUGAUUAUAGCCGUACGGGCGAGGGGGGGGGGAGGCAGUCCCGCCCCCCAGUCAAAAUAAAGUCAUGCAAAUUAUAAUAUAAACGUAAAAAUUCGGGCAAAAAUUGGGGGGGAAUAAAUUUAAAAAGAAGACAUUACAUGCUUUGACUUUGACUUUGACUUUAUUAAAAACGGUACUAUUUCACCAAGAUAUUUACAAAAAUUAAGACGGGUGAUCUUCCAAUAGGCCGUAUAUAGCUAUACUAUAAUUACA